rnacentral:lncRNA from 1 species
CCCAUCCUCCCCUAAUCCCCCCUCAGCACCCCUUAUAACUCCCCAUCCACCCAUCAAUCCCCCCUCAGCACCCCUUAUAACCCUCCAUCUACUCACAAUCCCCCUCUUCUCAGAGUUGAAAGCGUUGGGGGAUUUGCUGUCUGUCUGUCGGUUCAACACUUUCAAAGCCCUGGUCAUUGAGUUCCUCAUGAGGAUCACCCUUUAUGAAGGAGGAGGGAAUCUAUUCCUUUUUCCAUUAAAACCAGACUGUCAGACAGAUAGAUAGAGAGACAGCCCCCUCUAUCUCCCUCCUGCCUUCUCUGUCCCUUAUACCCCCCUUGUAGCUCACAAUGAGCAGGGUUAGAAGGGGGUUGCAGGUUUUCCUCUGUAUGUCUGGUGUCUGUGUGUCUGGUGUCUAGUGUUGGGACUCAGCCACUUAAUUUAUCCUGCAAUUGCGUAUCCCCCACUCUCCCCUCCUCCUUCACCCCUCCCUUCUUACUCUCCUCCUCCUCCCCCAUCUUAUUUAUUUUCCUUUAUUGCGAUGUUGUUCCCAUUCCUAACUACCCGUGGUGCACAUCCACAUCCAAGCCUUGUUUUCCUUGGACCGCUGAGCCGAAACUUUCCUUUCCACGCUCCGGCACUCCCAUCGGGGGAAAUCCCAAUUAACCCAGCCAGGACAAUCGGCUUCAGAGCUGGGAGAGGCUGGGAUAGAGACUGGAGAGAGAGUCUGGAGAGAGAGUCUGGAGAGAGAGACUGGAGAGAGAGAGACUGGGAUAGAGACUGGGAUAGAGACUGGAGAGAGAGACUGGAGGGAGAGACUGGGAUAGAGACUGGGAUAGAGACUGGAGAGAGAGACUGGAGAGAGAGACUGGAGAGAGAGACUGGAGGGAGAGACUGGAGAGUUAGACUGGAGGGAGAGACUGGAGAGAGAGACUGGAGAGAGAGACUGGAGAGAGAGACUGGGAUAGAGACUGGAGAGAGAGACUGGGAUAAAGACUGGGAUAGAGACUGGAGAGAGAGACUGGAGAGAGAGACUGGAGAGAGAGACUGGAGAGAGAGACUGGGAUAGAGACUGGAGAGAUAGACUGGAGAGAGAGACUGGGAUAGAGACUGGAGAGAGAGACUGGAGAGAGAGACUGGGAUAGAGACUGGAGAGAGAGACUGGAGAGAGAGACUGGGAUAGAGACUGGAGAGAGAGACUGGGAUAGAGACUGGAGAGAGAGACUGGAGAGAGAGACUGGAGAGAGAGACUGGGAUAAACACUGGGAUAGAGACUGGAGAGAUAGACUGGAGAGAGAGACUAGGAUAGAGACUGGAGAGAGACUGGGAGAGAGACUGGCGAGAGACUGGAGAGAGACUGGGAUAGAGACUGGAGAGAGACUGGGAGAGAGACUGGAGAGAGACUGGGAGAGAGACUGGGAGAGAGACUGGGAGAGAGACUGGAGAGAGACUGGGAUAGAGACUGGGAUAGAGACUGGGGAGAGACUGGAGAGAGACUGGGAGAGAGACUGGGAUAGAGACUGGGAUAGAGACUGGGGAGAGACUGGAGAGAGACUGGGAUAGAGACUGGAGAGAGACUGGAGAGAGACUGGAGAGAGACUGGAGAGAGACUGGGAGAGAGACUGGGAGAGAGACUAGGCGAGAGACAUCAGGAAAGACUGGAAAAGGCUGGAAGAGAGUUGAAGAGACCAGGAGAGACUGGGAGAGACUGGGAGAGAGACCAGGAAGAGACCUACCUUUUCCCUUCUAUCCCAGAGCUCACUGCAUAAACCCUUUAAACCCUCCGUUGCUCUCUCUCUCUGGCCGGAUCGGAUAUCAUUCCAUAACCUGACCGGGAUUCUUUCCCAGGCCCGGCUUUCUGACAGAGUUUAGAGGUUGAUGAUUUAUAUAUAGAGUGUGUGGGGCCCCUUCGGUUGCACCACGGGGUCUUCUAUGGUGUGUCUAGCUGCUGUGAUGGUGGGUUCUGAGACGGGACUUGAGUGGGUUCAAUGAAAGGAAGAUUGAAUUAACUAUGAAUGUCAAUAUUUCUGGGGAGUCAGAGAGUGUCAUGACAGGACACAGACAGGCUGACAGGGUGACAGGGACACAGACAGGCUAACCUGGUGACAGUGACACAGGCUGACAUGGUGACAGGACACAGACAGGCUGACAUGGUGACAGGACACAGACAGGCUGACAUGGUGACAGGGACACAGACAGGUUGACAUGGUGACAGGACACAGACAGGCUGACAUGGUGACAGGACACAGACAGGCUAACAUGGUGACAGGGACACAGACAGGUUGACAUGGUGACAGGACACAGACAGGCUGACAUGGUGACAGGACACAGACAGGCUGACAUGGUGACAGGGACACAGACAGGCUGACAUGGUGACAGGGACACAGGCUGACAUGGUGACAGGACACAGACAGGCUGACAUGGUGACAGGGACGCAGACAAGCUGACAUGGUGACAGGGACACAGACAGGCUGACAUGGUGACAGGGACACAGACAGGCUGACAUGGUGACAGGGACACAGACAGGCUGACAUGGUGACAGGACACAGACAGGCUGACAUGGUGACAGGGACACAGACAUGCUGACAUGGUGGCAGGGACACAGACAGGCUGACAUGGUGACAGGGACGCAGACAGGCUGACAUGGUGACAGGACCCAGACAGGCUGACAUGGUGACAGGGACACAGACAGGCUGACAUGGUGACAGGGACACAGACAGGCUGACAUGGUGACAGGGGGACAUAGAGGAGGAUGUGGAGGAGGGAGCAGGGCUGUUUGCGUGUUACCCAGUACUGAACUGAACACCCCUCCCCCCUCCUCUCCACUUCCUAAUUCCAGUAUCAGUCUAUUGUCAUACUCUGACUCUGGGAAUGUGCCCUGGCUGUGUACAAGGAGACAAGUGAAGGGAGGGAGAGAAUGACAAGGAGGAGAUGAGAAGUGUAGAGGAAGACAGUGACUAAUCAAGAGAACGCUUGCUGUUGACAAAGUGGGAAGAGCAGAGGGAGAGUACAUAACUUCAUUGGUGGAGACAUGUUGAAAAGCAGCCACACACUCAGAGGGAAGGGUGUAGGUGCUGUUCUGCUCUGUGUGUCCUUAACCCUGCUGUGUUGAGUAACAGGCCUACUGCUGGCCUCUCUGUCACACAUACACACCGCUUUAUCCCCUUGUCCAUGUGUGUUUGUUUGUGCAACUGUGUGUGCGUGUAUCAUUUGUCAUUAGGCUCCGCCACAGUAGUAACUGUCAGGCACCGCUGACUCUCCCUGUUUCUGAUUGGCCGACCCCUGACCCCCUAGACAUUCUGGUAACCAACGGCAGCGGAGCCGGGCACAGAGACAGCUGCAGCCCCUGUGUGCGUACAGCUCUGAUUCCCCUGUCACACACACUGGCUAGUGACAAGGAGUGGGAUUCCGUUUGGCUUGUUUUGCUCAGGAAACACUAUCGAUUAAUCAGGCCUAUAUUAGUCACCAGUGUCCUUGAGGAUUAAACAGAGCUAGACUGAGUUUAAUAGGUUACGUAUGAAUGAGACUUAAUGCUACCCAUGAUCACGUUCAGUGUGCUGUCCCCCUCCUUUAAAGACUCCCCCUUAAACACACACAACCCACCCCAAAAUGACAUGGUCCCCGGAAUGUACACAAAUCUAAAACCUCCCACCUCUGCAAACUUAUGUGAAGACACACAGGUUGAAUGCAAUCAGUUGUGUAACUCUCCCCCUCUUUCUCUCUCUUUCUCUCUCUCCCUCCUCUUUCUCUCACCCAUUCCCUCCUCUCUUCCCACCGCUUCUCUCUUUUACCCAUCUCCCCUCUCUCCCCCUCCCUCUCCCUCUCUGUCUCCACCCCUACUCAGUUUCUGCUCAGGCCCUCUCACCCUCUGCUUCAGACCGGAGAUAAGAGCAAACACACACCAUGAUGAUCGCCGUCCAGACACCAUUGUCCACUGUUUACCCACGGAAUACCUCUGCUACUUAACCUCCUUUUCACUCCCUCUAUCCCUGUUUUCUCUCUUCCUAUCCCUCAUUCCCCCCUUUUCCUGCCUUUCUAAAAGACACUGUUUCAAAGGAAGGAUGCUGAAUAGUGGAUGCUGUGUUCUCCCUACCCUCUUUCUUGCCACUCUGUGUCCAGUUCAGCCUACGUCUCUGUCUCACCCUGGGCUUAUGUUUCCGAGACGUUACGUCAUUGCAGGGCCCAAACAUUACAAGGUUAUGUAGUAUCAGAAUGGAAUGGUGUAUUAUUUGGGCUGUGUGACUAAUUCACUGGGUAGAGCUUGACUUGGCUGGAGGCCAGAAUGGGAUUGAGAAAGAACUCUCCUUCUCUCCCAUCUGUGUGUGUGUGUGUGUGUGUGUGUGUGUGUGUGUGUGUGUGUGUGUGUGUGUGUGUGUGUGUGUGUGUGUGUGUGUGUGUGUGUGUGUGUGUGUGUGUGUGUGUGUGUGUGUGUGUGUGUGUGUGUGUGUGUGUGUGUGUGAGCUGUCCUGACUGCAUAACAGCAUUGUUCAUAACACCAGAAAGCGUGAGGAGAUUGUCGGUCAAUAUCCUGUCCCGUGCCAUGACCAGGAAGAGCACAGAAGCCUGAUAUAUUGUUUCCAUGUGGCCCAGGCCCAGGGUGUGUCUGUGUACCUGCCCUGGCCUUCAGAUCAGAGAUCAGAGAGAGGCAUCACCUAACGCCAUUUUACACAUCCACCCAACAGCCCAACUACACCCACUUCACAGGCCCCUUGAAGUGGCUGGGUGGUGGGGAGUCAGUGUUGGGGUUGGUGGAGUUAUUGAAUGGAAGUUUAGGUGAAGGUCUGUGUAAGAUCUGGCUGUGUGGGAUAGUGUUGGGUUGGGUUAAGUGCAAGGGUUAGGCUUGGCUACAGUAAAUUAGUUGAGAUGAGGUAGGGGAGCAGGUCAGACACAGAGGCAGGGGGACCUCUCAAACUACUCUCCCCUGGCCUCCCGAGUGGCGCAGUGGUCUAAGGCACUGCAUCGCAGUACUAGCUGUGCCACUGGAGAUUCUGGUUAGUCCAGGCUCUGUUGCAGCUGGCCGCAGGAGUCGCAAACCCUCCCCUAACCCAGAC